rnacentral:rRNA from 1 species
UACGUAGGAUCCGAGCAUUAUCCGGAGUGACUGGGUGUAAAGAGUUGCGUAGGUGGCAUAGUAAGUAGCUAGUGAAAUCUGGUGGCUCAACCAUUCAGACUAUUAGCUAAACUGCUAAGCUCGAGACCGUUAGGGGUAACUGGAAUUUCUAGUGUAGGAGUGAAAUCCGUAGAUAUUAGAAGGAACACCGAUAGCGUAGGCAGGUUACUGGGACGGUUCUGACACUAAGGCACGAAAGCGUAGGGAGCAAACGGG